UACAGAGGUCUCAAGCGUUGUUCGGAUUCAUUGGGCGUAAAGGGUGCGUAGGCGGCGUGGUAAGUUGAGUGUGAAAUCCUAGGGCUUAACCUUAGAACUGCACUCAAUACUGCCAUGCUUGAGGAAUGUAGAGGAGAGUGGAAUUCACGGUGUAGCAGUGAAAUGCGUAGAUAUCGUGAGGAAGACCAGUUGCGAAGGCGACUCUCUGGGCAUCUCCUGACGCUGAGGCACGAAGGCUAGGGGAGCAAACGGG
rnacentral:ncRNA from 2 species